rnacentral:lncRNA from 1 species
UUCAGCAAAGUGUAUUCGAAUUUCUUUGCUAGACAAUGGCAUGCUCUCACAGGAACUGCUAUCAUCCAAAGGAGUCAAGCACACACAUUUCUGCUCAUUUUGUUGUUCACCAAAUUCACCUUCUGGCUUUUCUUUCACUAACUCACCUUGAAGACCAUUUACAUUGUUCAAUAUUUUAUCUUCACUUACUAGUUUCUCUGCCUCUUUUGCCAUUUUACUAGCUGCUAUGGUACAUUCUGAUCUUGAAUCAUUCAGCUCUGAUACCAGUUGAGGUUUCCCAACCUGCAACAUUUCACACAUUUUUUCCAGUUGAGCUGAUUUGUCCAUUGCUGUCUGCAGAGAACACUGAAGGUGUGGAUUGUCACUGUGACUUGUUGACAGCUCAUGGAGCACUGAAAUAUACUUUCCUUCUGCAUCUGCAUCACAGUCUUGAAGGCCACUAAUUUCUUGUGACUGACUGCCUUGCAAAUUUCCAACUUCCAUUUCUCUUCUAAUUGUCUGUAAUUCAUGCUGCAGGCACUCUUUCUCCUUCUCACUUUGCUGAAGCUUUAAUUCCAUAUUUCUUAUAAUAGCCUCUAAUUGUACCAUUUGUGUGUUAUAACUGUCUACGCUGCCUGGAGGAAUGUCUUUCAGCUCAAGAUCCAUUGGAAGCUGAAAACUAGAGUUAUUUACCUCGUUCUCUCUCUCUUUCAUAGAAUUCCUAACUAGUUCCAGUUCUAGAUUUUGAUGCUCAUGCUUAGGCUUUGUUAACUUCAUCAGCCGCUCAUUCUCUUGUAGCAAGUCAUUAACUUCCUUUUGCAUCUUAAUUUGUUCUUCCUUUAAGAUCAUGAUUUCUUGCUUUAAUCCAUCAGCCUCCCCCUUGGAAUGGUUUUGGAUAUCUGUUAUCUCAGAUCUCAGAUUCUGCUCCACCAUCUCCAACUCAAGUACCAGUUUCUGGUUUCUUUCUUCAGCAGAAGCCAAUUUCGUUAAGAUUUCUUGGUGUUCCUUCAUGACUGUGUCCUUCAGCUGUUUCAAUUCAUCUUCUCUAUGUUCACAGGCACUAGUGCAUUCAUUUAGCAAGGAUUCUAAUUUAGAGUUCUUUUCUUGUGCUGCUUUGUAGUUUACACAGAGCGUUCAAAUGCCUACUAGGGAUUUUUAGGAAGGAUAUUUGAUCUGCUCAGUGUUCAAUAACAAGCCAAUUAGCCAAUCUAGGCAAUUAGUAUGCUAGUACCCACAUUAUAUUUACUUCAAAGAUUUUAUUUUAAAAAUAGGGUGUUAAAACAUAAGAGUGCAGUCUAGAUUCAAUCCAAAGACUUGUGGUGCUAGGCAGGUGUUUAUCAACUAGAUUUAUUUAGAAGAGAAAUUCACAUUGUUCUUAACCUCCCAG